rnacentral:rRNA from 1 species
UGCCAGCCGCCGCGGUAAUACGGAGGAUCCAAGCGUUAUCCGGAAUCAUUGGGUUUAAAGGGUCCGCAGGCGGUCUUUUAAGUCAGAGGUGAAAUCCUACAGCUCAACUGUAGAACGGCCUUUGAUACUGAAAGACUUGAGUUAUUGUGAAGUGGUUAGAAUGUGUGGUGUAGCGGUGAAAUGCAUAGAUAUUACACAGAAUACCGAUUGCGAAAGCAGAUUACUAACUGUAUACUGACGCUGAGGGACGAAAGCGUGGGUAGCGAACAGGAUUAGAUA